AUUUGUAUGUCCAUGAUGGGAUGCGGACUUCUUUGGUGAAAGCAUAUUCAAGAAGUCUUAGUAGUCUAUCAUAAUGCCAGUACACAAUGGUUCACUUUGGCUGAAAGAGUGUUUAGCAUCUGUAUCACAGCAGACGUACAUUGGGAAGAUUGAAUUAAGUGUGUAUGAUGAUGCCAGCACAGAUGAUAGCAGAAAGCUAAUAGACAAUUGGGCCAGACUUUGUGAUGAUCCAAGAAUAU
rnacentral:sRNA from 1 species